rnacentral:rRNA from 1 species
GCAAGUCGAGCGAGAAAGCUCUCUUCGUAGAGUGAGUAGAGCUGCGCACGGGUGAGUAACGCGUGGAUGAUCUACCCUCAAGAUCGGGAUAACAGUUGGCAACGACUGCUAUUACCGUAUAAUCUACAUAUUUACCUUUAUGUGGGAAAGGUGGCCUCUAUUUAUAAGCUACCGCUUUUGGAUGAGUCCGCGUCUCAUUAGCUUGUUGGUGGGGUAAUGGCCUACCAAGGCAACGAUGAGUAGCUGGUCUGAGAGGAUGAUC